CUAUUCUCUAAUUUUGUGUGCACCGACAUCUAUUUUGCAAUGAGAUUAUUAUACGUGUGAUUGUUGUUGUGUUGCUGCUGUUGUUGUUGCUUUUUGUGGCUUUUUGUCAUCAUAUUACAUUAUUUGAGGAGAUUGAUCAAUAUAUGUCUCAUCGGAGUUGGAUGUAUGAUAGAAAAUAUCCGGGUGGUAGGAUAGUUAAAGCGCGUUUUAAGGAUGGAGUUGAAGAAUUUGUUACUUACGCGAUGUCGCGAGAUAUUGUUAAAAGUGAGGGAGGGAUAAGAUGUCCGUGUAUUAAAUGUAUGUGUGGGUCGAUUGAGAGCAAAUCAUCAAUUUCGGAAGAAAAAGAAUUUGUUUAAGUUAGACACAACAGAAACUGAUUGAUGGUCCGCCUCCUAAGAUAACAUCAUACGAUGUAUUUCAUAAAGUCAGUGGACUUGGACUAUUGAAAUUUCCAGAUGUUGGCCACAGGAUCAGAUAUGAUGGAUACGGGGAAGAGCACAAUUGGACUAAAAGAAGUAUUUUUUGGGACCUCCCUUACUGGAAAGACAAUUUACUGAGACAUAAUCUUGAUGUCAUGCAUAUUGAAAAGAAUUUUUGUGACAAUAUACUACACACGGUGAUGGAUGUGUCCGGUAAAACAAAAGAUAACGAGAAGGCUAGGUGGGAUUUGCCAUUGUCGAUGGUUAAAAGAAUUGAGAAUGCCGGACGGAUAUUCUUCGAACUUGGCAAGGUGUGCCGACGUCAACACAGGAAGAUUGCGGGGAAUGAAAAGUCACGAUUCACAUGUUUUAAUGGAACGGUUACUUCCAAUUGCAUUUUGUUCAUUGC